CCAUAUCACAAAACACCGAUUCUUAUAUGAUCACCAAAGUUAAGCAACAUUGAGCAUGGUCACUACCUAGAUGGGUGACCACUUGGAAAUACCAGGUGCUGUAAG